UUAUGAUGUGAUUUUCCUUUUGUUUCAGCGUCCUUUGUCCCUGGGGGCUGAUAUUUCUAUGUCUUCUGCAACCAAAUACAUCAAUGGGCACAGUGAUGUUCUCAUGGGCCUGGUCUCUGUAAACCGGGAUGAUCUCUAUGAGAGGCUCAAAUUCCUGCAGAUUUCCCGGAGCUGU